AGAGUUUGAUCCUGGCUCAGGAUGAACGCUGGCGGCGUGCUUAACACAUGCAAGUCAUGGGGGCUCGAGGCGCAAGCCUGGGGCAACCGGCGAACGGGUGCGUAACACGUGAGCAACCUACCCAGGUGUGGGGGAUAGCCGUCCCAACGGACGGGUAAUACCGCAUACGCUCAACACGAGGCAUUUCGAGUUGAGGAAACCUUCGGGGCACCAUGAGGGGCUCGCGGCCUAUCAGCUAGUUGGCGAGGUAACGGCUCACCAAGGCUACGACGGGUAGCUGGUCUGAGAGGAUGACCAGCCACAUUGGGACUGAGAAACGGCCCAGACUCCUACGGGAGGCAGCAGUGGGGAAUCUUGCGCAAUGGCCUAACGGCUGACGCAGCGACGCCGCGUGAGGGAUGACGCUCUUCGGAGUGUAAACCUCUUUUGCCUGGAACGAACUAUCAGCUUCAGCUGAUUUGACGGUACCGGGUGAAUAAGCACCGGCUAACUCCGUGCCAGCAGCCGCGGUAAUACGGGGGGUGCGAGCGUUGUCCGGAAUCACUGGGCGUAAAGGGCGCGUAGGUGGCGUGAUAAGGGUGUGGUGAAAGCCCGGGGCUCAACCCCGUGUCCGCCAUGCCGACUGUCAGGCUAGAGUACUGUAGGGGCAGGCGGAAUUCCGGGUGUAGCGGUGGAAUGCGUAGAGAUCCGGAGGAAGACCGGUGGCGAAGGCGGCCUGCUGGGCAGUUACUGACACUGAGGCGCGACAGCGUGGGGAGCAAACAGGAUUAGAUACCCUGGUAGUCCACGCCGUAAACGAUGGGUACUAGGUGCCUGGGGGAGCGACCCCUUGGGUGCCGGCGCUAACGCAGGAAGUACCCCGCCUGGGGAGUACGGCCGCAAGGCUGAAACUCAAAGGAAUUGACGGGGGCCCGCACAAGCGGUGGAGCAUGUGGUUUAAUUCGACGCAACGCGAAGAACCUUACCUAGGCUUGACAUGCAUGGGAAACUCCUGAGAAACCAGGAGCCUCCUUCGGGAUCCAUGCACAGGUGCUGCAUGGCUGUCGUCAGCUCGUGUCGUGAGAUGUUGGGUUAAGUCCCGCAACGAGCGCAACCC
rnacentral:rRNA from 1 species